GGGGAAUUGGAGUCAGUUGCUGCUGUGAGGACAAGGAACAGUUAGUGCUUAGAGGAGAUGCCUAUGAGAAAUAUCAAUGAGCCUGCUAACCAAGAAGUUUCUCUGAGCACCAUUAAUUGGCACUGGGGACCCUGACCCUUUUUGUGGCCUGGAAGUGGCCAUUGUUCUUCCAGUCUCCGAUGCCAAUUGAGCUGGAGGAGUUUAAUUUAUUUUGCUUUCUGCUGUGCCCACACCUGACUAACCAAAGCAGCUUCACAAGGGUCCCAAUGAUCUCUACAGUUUAACCCCUGUAUCUCUUCAUAUUGCUUUGCAAAGCAGAUUUCCUUGGAGGUUUGUGCCUCAGAUCUUUAGAUUCAGCUUCAGUGACUGCAAUCCCUGUUGAUGAACAUCCAGAGUACACUCACAUUCCUUCCAGAAGGACAAGAACUGUGAAGAGGAACCUAGUAAUGAUGAAUGGCAGGGUCUGGUCUUCACUCAGCAAUAUGUAAAUUUUAGAUAUUUUUACCACCUCAGUUUCCCACUGUCAGAUUCAUAGGUCAUGGUCUUCUUGCUUGAAAAGUACAAGAACGUUGUUUCCAAUGGGCAGAAAUAUUAGCAUAUCACUGGGUGAUACUGAUGAACAAAAUUGUGUUUCGCUUAAAUGACUAUUUCCUCUCUGAAUCCAGAUGUUUUCUGUGGUCCCUGUUGGCAAAAUGCUGUCUGUGAGAAGGUCCCUGCUGUCUGUCACAAUACAGUGUUAUCUUGUGAAGGGUUCCUUAAAUAUCUGCAAGGUCACAGAGAUUAACUGUUCUCUUGGGAAACUCAGGAAAAGUAGAAUGUCAGCAUCACCUUUCCCCCAAGUGAAAGGCUGAAUGACAUUUCCAGUGAUAUUGAUUAGAGCAUCUUUGAGUUUGAAAAGGGAAAUGGUGAUUUCAACAUCUACAGUGAAACGCAGGGGUAGAAGCAGGAAUCUGUGAGUGUAGACAGCAUUUCAUUUCAGCAGGAAUCUGUGAGUGCAGACAGCAUUUUAUUUCAGGAGAAAUUCAAGUCUGGGAAUCAGGAAAUCUCCUUCCUCAGAGUGCUUGGGUCUCAUCACAGGGGAGCUGGAUUUUUCUCUCUCCAUUUGCACAGGUAAAACUGUGGACUGAGAGAACCAUUCACAAUGGUACCUCACUCUUUCAGGUACCUUCUUCCCUUACUUGCCUUCCAGGCUGUAGUGCUGGGGAAAACCACUUCAUCCAGGAUGCUCCUGUGCUACAAAGUCAAAAAGGACACUCCAAGCCAUCUGUGAAAGUUACAACUUUUAAGAUGCCUUCCUCUCAUGCCAGUUCAUACUGCAAGACAAGUCACUGGCAGCCCCAGAAAACUGGAUCUCAGUAACCACAAGCGAACAGCUAUUUUAUCAGAGCUGACUUCUCUCUGUCUCUACCACAGCCACUUCCACUGACUCAGGGCUAUGUGUCAAAGGAAGGAUCAUCACUAUCUUGACUGUUUAGCAUAUAGUUUGUUUCACAUUAUGUAUUUUAUACAGUGUCCCUACAAUGCUUCUGCAUUAAAUAGAGCAGCAGAGUGAAAAAUUACCAAAGAAUGUAAAGAAGAAAAGAAAAUGGGGAAUGGCAAUUUUCAUCUGGGGUAAACUGACAGCUGCACUGAAUCCAGUGGAGCUAUCCUGAGUUCUGCUGCAGAUUCUCCAGACAAGAAUUAAUCUU